rnacentral:rRNA from 1 species
GGGGGGGGCAAGCGUUGUUCGGAAUUACUGGGCGUAAAGGGCGCGUAGGCGGUGCUCUAAGUCGGAUGUGAAAACUCUGGGCUCAACCCAGAGCCUGCAUCCGAAACUGGAGUGCUAGAGUUCUGGAGGGGGUAGCGGAAUUCCUGGUGUAGCGGUGAAAUGCGUAGAUAUCAGGAGGAACACCGGUGGCGAAGGCGGCUACCUGGACAGAAACUGACGCUGAGGCGCGAAAGCUAGGGGAGCAAACAGGAUUAGAUACCCUGGUAGUCCUAGCCCUAAACGAUGGAUACUUGGUGUGACUGGGAUUGAAUCCAGUCGUGCCGAAGCUAACGCAUUAAGUAUCCCGCCUGGGGAGUACGGUCGCAAGGCUG